CAAGUCGAGGGGUAUAGUUCUUCGGAAUUAGAGACCGGCGCACGGGUGCGUAACGCGUAUGCAAUCUACCUUUCACAGAGGGAUAGCCCAGAGAAAUUUGGAUUAAUACCUCAUAGUAUAGCAGUUUCGCAUGAAACCACUAUUAAAGAUUUAUCGGUGAAAGAUGAGCAUGCGUCCCAUUAGUUAGUUGGUAAGGUAACGGCUUACCAAGACAACGAUGGGUAGGGGUCCUGAGAGGGAGAUCCCCCACACUGGUACUGAGACACGGACCAGACUCCUACGGGAGGCAGCAGUGAGGAAUAUUGGACAAUGGGCGCAAGCCUGAUCCAGCCAUGCCGCGUGCAGGAUGACGGUCCUAUGGAUUGUAAACUGCUUUUAUACGAGAAGAAACACUCCGACGUGUCGGAGCUUGACGGUAUCGUAAGAAUAAGGAUCGGCUAACUCCGUGCCAGCAGCCGCGGUAAUACGGAGGAUCCAAGCGUUAUCCGGAAUCAUUGGGUUUAAAGGGUCCGUAGGCGGUCAGGUAAGUCAGUGGUGAAAGCCCAUCGCUCAACGGUGGAACGGCCAUUGAUACUGUCUGACUUGAAUUAUUAGGAAGUAACUAGAAUAUGUAGUGUAGCGGUGAAAUGCUUAGAGAUUACAUGGAAUACCAAUUGCGAAGGCAGGUUACUACUAAUAUAUUGACGCUGAUGGACGAAAGCGUGGGUAGCGAACAGGAUUAGAUACCCUGGUAGUCCACGCCGUAAACGAUG
rnacentral:rRNA from 1 species